UAGCAUAUCAAUAAGCGGAGGAAAAGAAACCAACAGGGAUUGCCCUAGUAACGGCGAGUGAAGCGGCAACAGCUCAAAUUUGAAAUCUGGCUCCUUUGGGGUCCGAGUUGUAAUUUGUAGAGGGUGCUUUGGCGUUGGCUCCGGCCUAAGUUCCUUGGAACAGGACGUCACAGAGGGUGAGAAUCCCGUACGUGGCCGACCGUCUUCGCCGUGUAAAGCCCCUUCGACGAGUCGAGUUGUUUGGGAAUGCAGCUCUAAAUGGGAGGUAAAUUUCUUCUAAAGCUAAAUAUUGGCCAGAGACCGAUAGCGCACAAGUAGAGUGAUCGAAAGAUGAAAAGCACUUUGGAAAGAGAGUCAAAAAGCACGUGAAAUUGUUGAAAGGGAAGCGCUUGCAGCCAGACUUGCCUGUAGUUGCUCAUCCGGGCUCCUGCCCGGUGCACUCUUCUAUUGGCAGGCCAGCAUCAGUUUGGGCGGUCGGAUAAAGGCCUCGGGAAUGUAGCUCUCUUCGGGGAGUGUUAUAGCCCGGGGUGUCAUGCGACCAGCCUGGACUGAGGUCCGCGCAUCUGCUAGGAUGCUGGCGUAAUGGCUGUAAGCGGCCCGUCUUGAAACACGGACCAAGGAGUCUAACAUCUAUGCGAGUGUUUGGGUGUCAAGCCCGGGCGCGUAAUGAAAGUGAACGGAGGUGGGAACCCCCCGGGGUGCACCAUCGACCGAUCCUGAUGUCUUCGGAUGGAUUUGAGUAAGAGCAUAGCUGUUGGGACCCGAAAGAUGGUGAACUAUGCCUGAAUAGGGUGAAGCCAGAGGAAACUCUGGUGGAGGCUCGCAGCGGUUCUGACGUGCAAAUCGAUCGUCAAAUUUGGGCAUAGGGGCGAAAGACUAAUCGAACUAUCUAGUAGCUGGUUCCUGC
rnacentral:rRNA from 1 species